rnacentral:rRNA from 1 species
UACAGAGGGGGCAAGCGUUGUUCGGAAUUACUGGGCGUAAAGGGCGCGUAGGCGGCCUGCUAAGUCGAACGUGAAAUCCCUGGGCUCAACCCAGGAACUGCGUCCGAUACUGGCUGGCUUGAAUUCGGGAGAGGGAUGCGGAAUUCCAGGUGUAGCGGUGAAAUGCGUAGAUAUCUGGAGGAACACCGGUGGCGAAGGCGGCAUCCUGGACCGACACUGACACUGAGGAGCGAAAGCGUGGGGAGCGAACAGG